rnacentral:rRNA from 1 species
GACGAACGCUGGCGGCGUGCUUAACACAUGCAAGUCGAACGGAAAGGCCCUGCUUUUGUGGGGUGCUCGAGUGGCGAACGGGUGAGUAACACGUGAGUAACCUGCCCUUGACUUUGGGAUAACUUCAGGAAACUGGGGCUAAUACCGGAUAGGAGCUCCUGCUGCAUGGUGGGGGUUGGAAAGUUUCGGCGGUUGGGGAUGGACUCGCGGCUUAUCAGCUUGUUGGUGGGGUAGUGGCUUACCAAGGCUUUGACGGGUAGCCGGCCUGAGAGGGUGACCGGCCACAUUGGGACUGAGGUACGGCCCAGACUCCUACGGGAGGCAGCAGUGGGGAAUAUUGCACAAUGGGCGGAAGCCUGAUGCAGCAACGCCGCGUGCGGGAUGACGGCCUUCGGGUUGUAAACCGCUUUCGCCGGUGACGAAGCGUGAGUGACGGUAAUGGGUAAAGAAGCACCGGCUAACUACGUG